CCUACGGGAGGCAGCAGUGGGGAAUAUUGCACAAUGGGGGAAACCCUGAUGCAGCGACGCCGCGUGAGUGAAGAAGUAUUUCGGUAUGUAAAGCUCUAUCAGCAGGGAAGAAGAAAGACGGUACCUGACUAAGAAUCCCCGGCUAACUACGUGCCAGAAGCCGCGGUAACACAUAGGGGGCAAGCGUUAUCCGGAGUUACUGGGUGGAAAGGGAGCGUAGACGGCUGUGCAGGUCUGAAGUGAAAGCCCAGGGCUCAACCCUGGGACUGCUUUGGAAACUGUGGAGCUAGAGUGCUGGAGAGGUAAGUGGAAUUCCUAGUGUAGCGGUUAAAUGCGUAGAUAUUAGGAGGAACACCAGUGGCGAAGGCGGCUUACUGGACAGUAACGGACGUUGAGGCUCGAAAGCGUGGGGAGCAAACAGUAUUAGAUACCCUUGUAGUC
rnacentral:rRNA from 1 species